GGGGUGUGUGGGUAGUUUGACAUAGGGGUGUGUGGUAGUGUGACUGACAUAGGGGUGUGUGGGUAGUUUGACAUAGGGGUGUGAGGGUAGUUUGACAUAGGGGUGUGUGGGUAGUUUGACUGACAUAGGGGUGUGUGGGUAGUUUGACAUAGGGGUGUGGGGUAGUUUGACAUAGGGGGGUGUGGGUAGUUUGACUGACAUAGGGGUGUGUGGGUAGUUUGACAUAGGGGUGUGAGGGUAGUUUGACUGACAUAGGGGUGUGUGGGUAGGUGACUGACAAAGGGGUGUGUGGGUAGUUUGACAUAGGGG
ensembl:lncRNA